rnacentral:rRNA from 1 species
GAUGAACGCUGGCGGCGUGCCUAAUACAUGCAAGUCGAGCGAACGGACGAGAAGCUUGCUUCUCUGAUGUUAGCGGCGGACGGGUGAGUAACACGUGGAUAACCUACCUAUAAGACUGGGAUAACUUCGGGAAACCGGAGCUAAUACCGGAUAAUAUUUUGAACCGCAUGGUUCAAAAGUGAAAGACGGUCUUGCUGUCACUUAUAGAUGGAUCCGCGCUGCAUUAGCUAGUUGGUAAGGUAACGGCUUACCAAGGCAACGAUGCAUAGCCGACCUGAGAGGGUGAUCGGCCACACUGGAACUGAGACACGGUCCAGACUCCUACGGGAGGCAGCAGUAGGGAAUCUUCCGCAAUGGGCGAAAGCCUGACGGAGCAACGCCGCGUGAGUGAUGAAGGUCUUCGGACCGUAAAACUCUGUUAUUAGGGUAGAACAUAUGUGUAAGUAACUGUGCACAUCUUGACGGUACCUAAUCAGAAAGCCACGGCUAACUACGUG